AACCCAUGCUAAGGACAUUUCCGCGAGAGAUCCUUGAACUGCUCCCAUAUCUUAAAAAUAGACUCCAAUUCCAUUUGCAUAAAAGAGGAUAUUUCAUUCCUAAGCUU